rnacentral:lncRNA from 1 species
GCUAAAUUUUCCUUUGAUUUUAAGUUACCAACUGAUAGAGUACAAAAGUGAUAACUUUCUGAAUAUUGUUGCUGUAAACAAGCAUAUAUUCAGUUCCUCCUGUGUGAAAAGAAGCCAAAUGUAAUGAUUGUGGUCUUAUUCAGCGACAAAGUGCUGAUGAUAUUAUUUCCAUAGACAGUACAAUUCUGCAGCUGGCUCUGUCAGUCUAGGAAGAGAGCUCACUAAAUAAAGACCAUGAAGUAAUUUGCAAUUCAGGGGCAGCAUUUUAAAGGAAAUGAGCUGAAAGUCUACUCAUUAAAGUCAAAGGAAACCUUGUGCUUUUUUUUCUUUUCAAUAUAUUUGUUUCUUCAAAGUGUAGCUAUACCAGCUUGCAUAGCCCAUAUUGGGAAUUCAGAAAAAGGUGACACUGUUAAAAAUUUUACUUUACUUUUUGGAGAAGUUCCUUGGAGAUAGAUCUUUUGGGGUAAAAAAAUUAUUUGGGUGUCUGGAAUUUAAACCUACGUUGCUCGUUUCAUUUCAGACAUAUAAGAAAUGAGUUUCAGAGGCAUUUGUUAGUUGUCUGUUUCCUCGCAGUGUAAGACUGUCAAGCAUAUAAAUGCAGGAGCCCCAGUGGCCUGAAAGCAGUCAAGAGUUCCUACCCUCCUUGGCUCAAUGGAAACGCAAGUGAACUAUACAGCGUUCAAUGGACCAAUCAACAGGGCAAAAAUCAGUCCUCCCAGUCUUGAAGAGAUUAACUGAGAGUCUCGCACCUCUUAAAGGAUUGAAUAGGAAACAUUUGCCAUCUAUGGUCUGAAAGGCCUGCCACCUAUAGACUACUGGAAACUGCCUGCUUCACUGCAUAGUAAGAACCUUGGAGCCACAACCCCUUAUCUUAACCCAGACACUCCUUUCUAUUGAUCCCAGGUUUUUAGAUAAUAACUUAACUCUCAGCCAAUCAGAAAAUCUUUGAAUCCACCUGUGACCUGUAAGUCCCCACCCUUCAAAUUGUCCUGCCUUUUGGGACUUAACCAAUGUAUACCUCACAUGUAUUGAUUGAUGUCUUUUGUCUCCCUAAGACAUAUAAAACCAAGCUGCAACCCAACCACCUUGGGCACAUGUUCUCAGGACCUCUUGAGACAGUGCUGUGGGCCAUGGUCACUCAUAUUUGGCUCAAAAUAAAACUCUUCAAAUAUUU